UACGUAGGGGGCAAGCGUUGUCCGGAUUUAUUGGGCGUAAAGAGCGUGUAGGCGGCCAUACAGGUCAGCUGUGAAAACUCGAGGCUCAACCUCGAGACGUCGGUUGAAACCGUAUGGCUAGAGUCCGGAAGAGGAGAGUGGAAUUCCCGGUGUAGCGGCGAAAUGCGCAGAUAUCGGGAAGAACACCCGUGGCGAAGGCGGCUCUCUGGGACGGUACUGACGCUGAGACGCGAAAGCGUGGGGAGCGAACAGG
rnacentral:rRNA from 1 species